AUCCCUUUGUAUCUGAGGCCUUCUGGAGGCAUUUUGUACAGCAUUGUACCAGGGUGAAAGAAAAAAAGAAAGCAACAGUCUGCCUCUCUGUGAAUCAUGGAGAUCCAUCCUUGACUUCUAAUGCAUGAAGCUAAACUGAGCUCACAUUGUUGAAGUUUUUGCACGCACAACAACAGGGAGAAACUUCUCUUUCUCACACUAAUUUGUACUGGUGAAAUGGAAAACAGUGCUGGGACACUGGAAGGGAAGGACUUUCUGCACAACUAAUGGUCUCUGCAGCAUCUUGCAGACUGCAGCUUGUCUGCUGAACCUGGCAGGAUGGUUUUUUCUCCCGUCUCUUUUUGAACAAGACCUCUGGAACAAGAAUGUGUACUGUGUGUAGCAGUAUUUGGCUGAUCCUUCGCAUGGGACACCCACACUACUUGUGCUUUCUCUUGGUGCUGCUGCUCCCAGCAGUGCAGCUGUCCUACAGCCUUCAAACAUAUUUCUUCGCUCUUGGAUCUGAUGUCUUGGAAAAAUGAAUUCUGUUGAUUUCUUGCUCAAAUACUUCCCCCUCCUCUUAUCCUACAGUUCAUGAGCUUGUGAGGUCUAGCUAAACAUGUUUUAUCCUAGGUGCCACCUAUAGUUGUCCUGUCCAAAACGUAACUGUAGUAGAGGACUCAAAUGCCUUUGGGACAAUUUCUGCUAUUGGAGCAUCUUCAAGGGUUAUCACAAAUAAAAACAUUCUUACCUAGCAGACUUGUUGUUCAGUGUGGAUUGAGAUAUUUCUUUCUCAAGCAGAUCUAUGCGAAAGAUUAAAGCAGUCUCUGUUAAUGAAAGUAGUAA